AAAGUCGUAACAAGGUUUCCGUAGGUGAACCUGCGGAAGGAUCAUUAUACGUUUAUCCAACGUACCAACCAACGCGCACUUGUUUAUUCAAGUCUGUAGACUAGCUUUUGUGUUUGUUGGCUACCAAAGUAUGGUGGGGUUUUUUGUCUGUUUGUGCUUCGGCAUGAAGAGCAAAAGACCUGUUUGGUAGUCGGCCUUCACUCGGCGUUAAAAAACCGUGUGAGACGAGCUAUGUCACGCAGCAACCAUUUUAAUUAUUUAAAUUUAAAACGCAUUGUAAUCACUUGUACUAAUUACGAAAAACAUCUGAAAGUGCUUUUUUGUUUCACGACGAAAGCGCGGCCAGGUGGAAUUAAGACAUUAAUUGCUGAACAACUCUUAGCAACGGAUAUCUUGGUUCUC
rnacentral:misc_RNA from 1 species